rnacentral:rRNA from 1 species
UACAGAGGGUGCAAGCGUUAAUCGGAAUUACUGGGUGUAAAGCGUGCGUAGACGGUCAUGUAAGUCGGGUGUGAAAGCCCCGGGCUCAACCUGGGAAUUGCAUUCGAGACUGCAUGGCUAGGGUGCGGAAGAGGGAAGCGGAAUUUCCGGUGUAGCGGUGAAAUGCGUAGAUAUCGGAAGGAACACCAGUGGCGAAAGCGGCUUCCUGGUCCAGCACCGACGUCAGGCACGAAAGCGUGGGGAGCAAACAGG